rnacentral:lncRNA from 1 species
GGUUUCGCAUCAGCAGAGAAGGUGAAUCCUCUCGAAACUUCACGGUAUCCAGCCAACGCCUGAUCAAGCAAAUACGGCUGCUCACAAGUGCUCAAUACAUACCUAUCACCUUCCUUAAUCGGAACCCAAACCUGCGCCAAAAUCCCCGCUCCAGACGAAUCUUUAACCAACGACAACGCCUUCAACAUUUUUUCAGCAAGCGAUGUCGACGGUGACCGGUAAACAACACCAUUUCCAAUCUCUUCAACCUUCUUUUGCUGACAACAACCACCAUUCUCAUCAUUCGAAUCAUUCGAAUUCCCCGGUACAACAAAAUCUCCACCGUAGAUCGAAUUUCGCUCGAUCAAAACAUCAACAUCAUUUCCUACAAACCCCCCCUUAACUUGUUCAGUAAAGUUCGAGUAAUCAAAAGGCGCAUAACCACCCGACAGCGCAAAAGAUGCUAGCAUCUGAUCAGCUGCACAUAAGUAUCAAAGUUCAUAAGCUCGGAAAACCCGUUAAACCCGUUAAACAACGGGUCUUCGGGUCUACCAAACCCAUCUAAAGGUGCAGAACUAUCCAUCUGAGCCCUAGGUGAAGCCCAGAAGCCCAUAGGUUUAUCUUUUGUUGGUGAAGGGUAUUCCAUUAUUCACAACCGAAUUAACCUUCACUCAUCUAUUAUUCCAAUCUUGAUAUAUCAAAAACAACUCAAUUAAACCUAAUCUGUACAAAAAUCACAGCUUUAACCUAAUCUGACGUAAUUAAACAAAAAGGGUAAACGGAUAAUCAACGAAUAACAAGUAAAAAUCAAACCUUGAGGGGUUUUAAGGCGAUAAACAGGAAUCAAAUCUCAAAAAUUGAGAAAAUAUAGAGGAAGUAAGUGAAUUGGGGAGGAAAAAGCAAACCCUAGGUGGUGAAUCUGAUAUGAUAAUAUCUUGUAAGGAUAGUAUAUAGAGGAAGGUGACAAAGAAGUGAGUUGAAAACCUCGAAAACUAUGAGAGCCCCAAACUUCAAGAGAAUACGGAUAGGCUUCAAGUCGGUUGCCGGAAAUGGUGAAAUGCUGUUUACCCAAAUUGGA